rnacentral:lncRNA from 1 species
ACAUUUCAAAUGGCAAAAUCUAAAAAAAGAGGAAAAGCAUCUCAUAGCUAUAAAUGAAUAAGAAGCACCUAAGAUAAGUUUUCAGAUGUGAUUCAGUGGUAGAGAAGAACAAGCUGUAGAACUUUCUAGUACAUGGCUAGCAGGGCUGAGUAAAUAGGAUGACUUGUAACAGAGCCAAAAGUGUUUGGCCAUCACAAAGCUCUUUGACAAGAUCUGAAGUCCAGAUAUUUGGCCACUCAUUUCUGAGUCAUGAAAAUCCUAAAUGUGGUUGAAUGUUCCUGUCCUUUAUCCCUGCUCCCAGGAGCAUCUUCCUUGUUCCUUUUGUAGUAUUCUUCAGGGACUGACUCUCCACCCCCGAAAAAUGGUGUGCCCUGUAUCACCAAACCAUGUGGGCAGUGUGGCCUCAUUGGGUCUGGGGGUCUUGUUGUCCUGUAAGUGGGCUGGGGAGCUCUUGGGAGACUGAACAUGCCAAGCAAAUGAGAGUCCUGCUGAUCACAGUGGCAUGGAUGUCCCCAAAUACUCGGUGGAGAGCAGGAAGAAGGAGUUGUUCAUAGAGAUGUUAUUUUCAAUAACAGAGAAUAGAGGGGGGCAAGAGGACAGGUAAGAAGCACCUGUCAGUGACAAGGGAUGGGAGAGCAUGGGGAGAACACAGAUAUCAAGGAAAAUCAAAGAUCUGCAGGGAAAGCAUUAAUGCUGAAACCCAAAGCCGCCUCCUCCAGCUUGUGGCUCCCAGCAGAGAGCAGGUCAGUUUCACACCACUUUUCUUCUCUAAGCAGCAGUGAUCACUGGUGCUAGAGCCCUUGACAAUGGCUUGUCCAGGGGAGGCCCUGCCCUUGGCCUUAGACGAGACCCCCAAGUGCUAUUUGGAAAGCUGGGGAUUUGGGUUUCACAUCCAGGAGAAAGGGCCCUGUUCAAUGGCCAUAGUUGGAUUAAUGCUUAGGGCUGUGGUGAUGGAGGGGAGGAGCCAGCAGUGUGCCUGACAGAGCAAAUCACCCGCCUCAAGGGAUUCUGAAGGAAAGGAGAGAGCCGUUAAAGAAAGCACGGGCAGCAUAGCCUGUGCUGGAGUCUCCUGGGAUCCAGACCAGGAACACACAUUUUUAACAAGAUCCCCAGAUGAUUCUGGGGCACACCACGUUCGAGAACCGCUAGAUGAAGGGCUCUCUCCCAUCUUGUGAGUCUUCACCUCUUCCCAUAAAAAACCGAGAUUGUUUUGUUCUUCUCUCUCUGCUCUCCCUAUUAGGAUUACCUUAAGCCACGGAUUUUUGUCAUAAUUUCUAUCCAAGGUACACCACCCCUUUGAGAAUUUAACCAACGAACGAAACCCCCAAAUUCCAUUUCAAAUCUUUCUUAUUUAUUUGCUUCAGGAAGGUAGGCCCCAAUUGGCCAUUAAGAAAGUGUGGUGUCAUUUACUUAACGGGUCCUCCGGAUUUAUCUAGCUGGCUUUCCAGUUAAAUGCAACCAGAGGUUUUCAUUCAAUGUCACAGUACAUUAAGCUAACAGUUUCAUUUCUUCCCAGACCUAAAGGAACAAUGUAUUUAUUAAAGCAUUUUGAUCCUUUGGAGACAGAUUAAUCAGAAGCUUGUGUCAGUUUUGUAUGAUAAAAUGAGUCAAUAAGCAGAAAUGGGCAUUGACAUUACAUAAACUGAACACGAGUGGUACAAUGCAUAUUUGUGGUGUCACAGAGAAAAAUUAGGAAAAAUUUUGCAGUAUUCCAUUAUCAUUAUUAAACGAUUACAUCUCAGUUUUCAGGCUGUGUGCAGGUGGGGGUGUGUUUGUUUGUAUGUAUUUGUUAUGGGACAGAUCUAUUUUUUAAAAAAGAAUAGUGGAUGAAUUUGAACAUGGACUUUGGAACUAAAGGCUAAUGCUGUAAGACGUUUCUCCUUAGCUUUGCCAUGGCUUUGACGGCCACAGUUUCAGUCACAGUGUCAAAGCAACCACAGACAACACCUAAACAGAUAGGUGAGGCUACUUUCCAAUAAAACUUUAUCAUACUGAAAAUAAUAAGCAGUCAGCACAUUGGCCUAGAGAAAUGAAACAAACAAAAGAAGCUGACAUCUGUUUGUCUCCAAAGGAACAAUCUGGUUUUGGAUCUCCUUAUCACAAGUCUGUUUAUUCACUGGCAGUCUAUUUUCACCUUGGAUUUUAGUAUUUUUUAGUAUUUUGAGUAUUUCAGUAUUUAGCAUUUAGUAUUAGUUCAACUUUCAGGAAUUAAUUCGGGAAAUAGGUUUUUUGUGUUACACUUCUUGUAAUUAGAGACUCUUCUGGGCAGAUGUUUCAUUCUAAUGUACCCCUGUCCUUCUGGGA